AAAAAAAAAAGGCGAAUGCUACCCAGCAAUCUAAAUAAAAAUAAAUAAAUAAAUCUUAAAUUUCAAGCCGUAAAUAAUUCAUGUGCAAAAACAGUAAACUCAAAAACCAUUUCAUAUUACUUCCUAAUGCAUUGCGAUAUCAUAAUUCAUUUAAAUAAAAAUCUCAGAAAGCCACUAACAGGAGAAAAGAAGAGAGGGGGGGGGGGGGGGGGG
rnacentral:misc_RNA from 1 species